GAUGAACGCUGGCGGCGUGCCUAAUACAUGCAAGUCGAGCGAACGGACGAGAAGCUUGCUUCUCUGAUGUUAGCGGCGGACGGGUGAGUAACACGUGGAUAACCUACCUAUAAGACUGGGAUAACUUCGGGAAACCGGAGCUAAUACCGGAUAAUAUUUUGAACCGCAUGGUUCAAAAGUGAAAGACGGUCUUGCUGUCACUUAUAGAUGGAUCCGCGCUGCAUUAGCUAGUUGGUAAGGUAACGGCUUACCAAGGCAACGAUGCAUAGCCGACCUGAGAGGGUGAUCGGCCACACUGGAACUGAGACACGGUCCAGACUCCUACGGGAGGCAGCAGUAGGGAAUCUUCCGCAAUGGGCGAAAGCCUGACGGAGCAACGCCGCGUGAGUGAUGAAGGUCUUCGGAUCGUAAAACUCUGUUAUUAGGGAAGAACAUAUGUGUAAGUAACUGUGCACAUCUUGACGGUACCUAAUCAGAAAGCCACGGCUAACUACGUGCCAGCAGCCGCGGUAAUACGUAGGUGGCAAGCGUUAUCCGGAAUUAUUGGGCGUAAAGCGCGCGUAGGCGGUUUUUUAAGUCUGAUGUGAAAGCCCACGGCUCAACCGUGGAGGGUCAUUGGAAACUGGAAAACUUGAGUGCAGAAGAGGAAAGUGGAAUUCCAUGUGUAGCGGUGAAAUGCGCAGAGAUAUGGAGGAACACCAGUGGCGAAGGCGACUUUCUGGUCAGUAACUGACGCUGAUGUGCGAAAGCGUGGGGAUCAAACAGGAUUAGAUACCCUGGUAGUCCACGCCGUAAACGAUGAGUGCUAAGUGUUAGGGGGUUUCCGCCCCUUAGUGCUGCAGCUAACGCAUUAAGCACUCCGCCUGGGGAGUACGACCGCAAGGUUGAAACUCAAAGGAAUUGACGGGGACCCGCACAAGCGGUGGAGCAUGUGGUUUAAUUCGAAGCAACGCGAAGAACCUUACCAAAUCUUGACAUCCUUUGACAACUCUAGAGAUAGAGCUUUCCCCUUCGGGGGACAAAGUGACAGGUGGUGCAUGGUUGUCGUCAGCUCGUGUCGUGAGAUGUUGGGUUAAGUCCCGCAACGAGCGCAACCCUUAAGCUUAGUUGCCAUCACUAAGUUGGGCACUCUAAGUUGACUGCCGGUGACAAACCGGAGGAAGGUGGGGAUGACGUCAAAUCAUCAUGCCCCUUAUGAUUUGGGCUACACACGUGCUACAAUGGACAAUACAAAGGGCAGCGAAACCGCGAGGUCAAGCAAAUCCCAUAAAGUUGUUCUCAGUUCGGAUUGUAGUCUGCAACUCGACUACAUGAAGCUGGAAUCGCUAGUAAUCGUAGAUCAGCAUGCUACGGUGAAUACGUUCCCGGGUCU
rnacentral:rRNA from 1 species